rnacentral:lncRNA from 1 species
GCCGCCGUCCCUGAAUCCGGUCGGCGUCGUCUCCCCCUUCACUGUCUCUCUCUUCUCUCAAUCAUUUUCUCUCUCUAAAGUCGAUUGCACACUCAAAUCAAGCCCUAAUUCCCCCCUUAAACUGCCCGCCUCUCUCUCCCUCUAAAUUCAGGCGUCGCCGCCGUCCUAAGGGCGGCGUUGCUCCGCCUCAUCUCUGACUCCCUCUUCCAUUCCUUAAUUAGUUCGAUUUUGUUUCCACUUCUUAAACCCAUGAGAAUUCUCCAUUUGAAGCAAUUAAUACAAGAGCCCUAAGAUUUCUUUUUCCUAUAACCCGUUGUCGUUCCUUCUUCUAGACUCCGGCGAAAUAGUCGCCGCUGAGCUUGCGGUUCAUCCGCCGUCGAGUCACCGCUGAGCCCUGGAGUUCGUCCACCGUGCCGUCGACCCCACCCCACCGACGACUUCUCUGUUUUCAUACCUCCAUUUCCUGAUUAGCCGUGAUUCUUCCUACACACCUAUGGUAAGUAUUAAAUUAGUUUCCUAAUUUAAUAACGCGUUUCACUAUUUUAAAUAUAGAAUGAUUAUUAUUUUAGAAAGAACAAAUUUUGGAAAGAAUUUUGGCAUCUGCUAUCAAGCGUGUUGUGAUUGUUGCAUGGAAGCAAUAUGAUUUAUUAACUCUGAUGAGGGGUGAAAUAUGCAAGGUCCUAAGAUCAGGACACGUGGCUUUGCUUGGAAUACCAAAGAUGAGCAGCAGGGAGCAAAGAAGCUGUGAGAAAUAGGCAGAGGAAAAAGUCCAAAGCAGAGUUGGCAGAGCAAAGCUUCCAGAACAGAGCUGCCAGAACAGAGUUUGUCAGAGCAGAGC